rnacentral:ncRNA from 1 species
AACCGCUAAAGGCAAAACCGUCGAAAGACGGUGGCGCAAAGCUAUAGGGGCUAAAGUGGCUUUGCCACCAAGCCAGCCAGCUGCCGGG